rnacentral:precursor_RNA from 14 species
ACGUUUCACACACGUGGGGUCAGGAGGGCAGGGCAGCCUGACUCGCAGCAGAGAGCUGAUGCCUGUACCUGUGCUGAGGGUCAGGCUGGACUGCAGCCACCCUGGCUCGCUCCAUGCAAACCC